AUAAUAUAAUAUUUGUUGCUGCCUUGUUCUAUAUAAAUGUUUCUAACAUGCAGGUAACAUUUAUAUAUGUAUUAGUUUGAAUAAACCAUUUUAAUAAAGUUACAUUAUAGGCAGGAAUGUUUGACUGGAAAUAUAAACGAUGUUGUACAUAAUGCAGAUAACUUAGGCAAAAAAGAGAUUGGUGAAAUGGAGAAUGAGACUAACUAGGGUGAAAAAAAAUGAAUAUUAAUAUGUGAAUGUUACUUUGUUUAACAUCUACCUGUUUCUACAGAUACAGUACAGACGCAUUUAUAAAUGGGCUUGAUGUUUUUUUGAAUUAAAUAUGUUGUAUUGA